CUCCUCAGCCGUGAAACUUUUCUCCAUCCCCCAGAAGUCUGCCUCUGCAUGACCAUUAUCCAUGUGGACGAUUUCUUCAGGCACUGACUCCCCAGCAGUCUUUGCCUCAUCUCCCCAUUAGAUCACAGGCUUUUUGAGGGAUCCAAGCCUGUCUCAUUUACUUUGAAUAUUUCUCAGAGUGAUGUUACUUAUAAAUAUUUAGAACGCAAGACAGAGAAAGAACCAAGAUGUUUUUCUGCCUCCAGAGAUCAGUUUGCUUAGACACAAAAGAAAAAAAUUACAAAAUAUUUUAAAAGGCUGCAAAUAUUUUAGAUCCGAGAUUCCAAGACAGAAAAUGUGAGCAAUAAUAUACUGUAUGCUAUGGAAAUACAAGAAGCAACCCAAUUCCUUCUUAAGGUCGAAACCCAGAUCGAUUAGCAACUCUUCGAUGAAGCCCUGGUCUCCAGGAUCCUCUUCCGGUUCCCACCACUACUGCAGUAAGUUCCCACUGCGGCCUGAGUUCUGUAUUGUAACCCUUCAUGGACGGAGCUGUCUCUCCCACGUCCUGCAGGCUGGAGACCUCCCUUACUCAACCCUCUAUGAGUAAGGGUUGACAUAGACCGCAGACUGACAUGACACACCAUGAGUUUUAGGCAUUUAUUGACUGAACGGACCCAACGAAUGAAAGAAAAGCCCACACAGGAAUUUUCUGAAUUUGUUGAAUCAAAUCAUAUUGAGGUAUU
rnacentral:lncRNA from 1 species